GACAAACGCUGGCGGCAUGCCUAACACAUGCAAGUCGAACGGACAGAACAGGGAAGCUUUUCGGAGUGGAACUGGAAAGUUAGUGGCGGAUGGGUGAGUAACGCGUGGACAACCUACCUUGUAAAGGGGAAUAACCUCGAGAAAUCGAAGCUAAUACCCCAUAAUAACCUUGCUUCGCAUGAAGUAAGGAGGAAAGGCUGCCUUAGCGCUGUCGAUACAAGAUGGGUCCGCGUCUGAUUAGCUAGUUGGUGAGGUAAAGGCUCACCAAGGCGACGAUCAGUAGCCGGCCUGAGAGGGUGAACGGCCACAUUGGGACUGAGACACGGCCCAAACUCCUACGGGAGGCAGCAGUGGGGAAUCUUCCGCAAUGGGCGAAAGCCUGACGGAGCAAUGCCGCGUGAGUGAAGAAGGCCUUCGGGUUGUAAAACUCUGUCCUUAGCGAAGAGAGAGUGUUGUAGUAACUGACAAUACUAGGACGGUAGAUGAGGAGGAAGCCCCGGCUAACUAUGUG
rnacentral:rRNA from 1 species